rnacentral:rRNA from 1 species
GAAUAUUGGACAAUGGGCGAAAGCCUGAUCCAGCCAUGCCGCGUGUGUUAAGAAGGUCUUCGGAUUGUCAAGCACUUUAAGCUGGGAGGAAGUGCAUUAAGCGAAUAACUUGCUUUUUUGACGUUACCGACAGAAUACUCACCGGCUCACCCUGUUCCAGCAUCCGCGGUAAUACAGAGGGUGCAAGCGUUAAUCGGAAUUCCUGGGCGUAAAGCGCGCGUAGGUGGUUCGUUAAGUUGGAUGUGAAAUCCCCGGGUUCAACCUGGGAACUGCAUCCAAAACUGGCGAGCUAGAGUAGGGCAGAGGGUGGUGGAAUUUCCUGUGUAGCGGUGAAAUGCGUAGAUAUAGGAAGGAACACCAGUGGCGAAGGCGACCACCUGGGCUCAUACUGACACUGAGGUGCGAAAGCGUGAGGAGCAAACAGG